rnacentral:snRNA from 1 species
GUGUUUGCUUUGGCUGCACAUAUACUAAAUUUUGAACAAUACAGAGAUUAGCAUGGCUUUUGUGCAAGGAUGACAGAAAUUUAUGAAGCAUUCCAUAUUUUU